GAUGAACGCUGGCGGCGUGCCUAAUACAUGCAAUUCGAGCGAACAGACGAGGAGCUUGCUCCUCUGACGUUAGCGGCGGACGGGUGAGUAACACGUUGAUAACCUACCUAUAAGACUGUGAUAACUUCGGGAAACCGGAGCUAAUACCGGAUAAUAUAUUGAACCGCAUGGUUCAAUAGUGAAAGACGGUUUUGCUGUCACUUAUAGAUGGAUCCGCGCCGCAUUAGCUAGUUGGUAAGGUAACGGCUUACCAAGGCAACGAUGCGUAGCCGACCUGAGAGGGUGAUCGGCCACACUGGAACUGAGACACGGUCCAGACUCCUACGGGAGGCAGCAGUAGGGAAUCUUCCGCAAUGGGCGAAAGCCUGACGGAGCAACGCCGCGUGAGUGAUGAAGGUCUUCGGAUCGUAAAACUCUGUUAUUAGGGAAGAACAAAUGUGUAAGUAAAUAUGCACGUCUUGACGGUACCUAAUCAGAAAGCCACGGCUAACUACGUG
rnacentral:rRNA from 1 species